rnacentral:lncRNA from 10 species
UGAUGUACAUCAUUUUACCUAAGAUUUACUUAUCUACCUAUAUCCAUCCAUCCAUCCAUCCAUACAUCCAUCCAUCCAUCCAUCCAUCCAUCCAACAUCAGGAACCUUCUGAAGGCUAACUGCACCAUAUGGUGGAUAUGAUGGAUAGAUUUUAGUCCUCUUUCGUUGUUGGCACUCCAAAUUUGGGAUGGGAAUUGUCAUUGAGCAGCUAUUCUGUGCUAUCUAGACGCUUUAGACACAUUAUCCCACUUAAUCCUAAUGACGGCACUAAGAGCUAUAGAUAACAAUGUUUAUAAGGUAAUAAUAGCUACGAUUUAUUGAGUGUUACUAUGUACUGGCCACUGUGCUUAGCCUUUUAUAUGAGAUAUCACAUUUAAUGUCCCCAACAGUUUUGAGAAGAACUCUUAUUUCUUUGAUUUACCAUUAUUGCCCAGCUUCAGAAAGGUUAAGUGACUAGCCCAAGGUCACACGGCACAUUAGAGGUCAAAGCAAGCCUCUUUCCCUGGUCUUUGUAAUUCCAGGUUGGUCACUGUCUGCUUCACUGUGCCUCUAGCUAACUGAUUUUCUCUUGGAGGGAGGCAUGCGGGCUCCCAACCUCACUAGACAAUCAUGGGAGGAGGAAAGACAAGGGCUUUCUCACAGAGUUAACUCUCCACUCCUUGCCCCCUGGGGAAGGGCACCCCCUCCUGAGCAUCCUGACAGGUCAGCCUGCACUCAAAGUAGCCUUUCGGGGGGCCCUUGAUGGCUCCCAGAUGGGAACGCACACAGCUGUCAGGUGCUUCCGAGAGUCUCUGGAUCCUAAGAGCACUGGCGGUGUGCCUGUAGGAUUAAUUGCUUCUCUGGCUUCCAGCAGGGAAGCGGGGUGUGGUAACAUCUUGGCUUGGUUAAGGAUGAAGGGGCAGGCACACAGGUGGCAGAGAGCAUGCCUCUGUAGCACAGGAUCAGAGGAAACUAUGUGGCUGAGAACAGCUCCUGGUAGGUAGGGAAGCCCAUGAGGACCUCACUUCCCCUAGAAGGAAGAUGUCAGAAGCUGAUGUCCUUUCCCCCUGUGCAGUUCUAAAAUUAUGUAACUGGAAGAGGUGCCACAGGAAAACCUGUUUCUAUCAUCCUUAUUCGUUCUGUGUGGUCUUCCUCCUUGUCUUUCUUACAAUUCUUCUUCCACAGUUAAUUUUUUUCAGGCACCUUCUAUAUCUCAUGCUCUGGAAAUACCAAGAUGAACCAUGCAGACCCUGACCCCAUGGAGUUGAGAGUCUGGUGGUGGAAGACAGACAUCAUCAAACGCUGGCACAAAUAAAGGCACAUUUAUUUACUUGAGGGGUUACAUGUUAAGUCACGGAGGCACAGAUUCUAGAGGAGCCAGUAGCAGGGCCUGAGCUUGGUCCAGGGUUGGCCAGGAAGCUCUUUCCUGCAGAAGUAAUGCUUGCACUCAGGACCAAAAGAUGACCAGGUGAAGAGUCACCUCACUCCUUGAAACCUCAGUUUCCUUCUUUGUAAAGUGGGAUGAUAGUAACACCUACAUUCCAGGAUAUUUGUGAGGAUAAACUGAGAUGACACAGGUGAAAAUGAGUAGUACGGAGUCUGGUACAUAGUCAGUGCCCAUCGUAUCAUGGCUUUGGCCAUAGUCCCUCGAUGUGAAGUGAAGUUCCCAUAGAUUGGAAGGCCUAUCGUUGACUUAGAAACUGCUGCCCAAGGGACAAAGAAGAAUGCAAGCCCACUAUGUGAAAUGGAAGCACACAGAAAAGGAAGGGCCUCACUCUGCUCUCUCUCUUCUGUGUGUGUGUGUGUGUGUGUGUGUGUGUGUGUGUGUGUGUGUAUGAUGAGAAGUUUGCACAGAGAAGCUGGUGUUUAGGCCAGGUCCUGAAUGGUAGAUAGCAGUUUACAAGAGAAAAGGGGGAGGAAGGGUGUCAGAGAUAAAAGGAACAUCAAUGCAAAGUGAUACAAGGAUGAGAAUGAGUGUCAUCCGCCUUGUCAGAUGCCUGGGGAAAUUCCAAUGGGCACAUGGAACAGAUCCCCAAACAAAACAACCUUUAAUAACACAAUACUAUUACUCCUAAUGGCAAUAACGGCAAAAGCAAUAAUCACAAUGACCACAAUAGCAACAGCCGUUACCAUGCAUUGACAGGUUACUCUCUUUCAGGCACUGUACAUGGGUAACUUCACCUGAAAUGCUGAAAAUAAAUCUUGCUCAUUCUUUCCUGGGAUAUAGUGAAUGACUUCAUGCCCUACAUUGUAUGGGCUACCCACAUAGGUGAGGAAUUGAGGAUACAGCCAUGGAGGAUUUUUCUGUUAAACCUCAGAAGGGAUGCUCUCAAUUUCUGCAAGGCUCUCCUGGGCAACAUGAACGGUCCAGACAAGUUCAUUCAUUUUUUUGUUUUUCUGGAGGGUUAAAUGGGGGAUAGAGUAUUCAGGAGGUAGGUUUAGCUCAGUCCAAGGAUGGCUACAAAGAGCUGUGGUAGGUAGUGCUCUGACAAAGAGUUCCCUGUCGUGGGGAUAUUCAAGUGUAACUCAGUUAAUUUCUUGUUGGGGAUGUUCUGAGCAUGGUCAGAACAAAGAGAAAGGGAAAUUCAGGGGGAAUUGGUCUAGAAGAUCCCUUCAAUUCCAGGAUGCUGUGGUUUCAGGAAGGCAGGAAUGAUCUACCAUGAAAGGUUUUUACAACAGUAGGAAACAUCAUCAUCUUGGCUUUGCCUGUCUCCAGGAGGCUUGAAUGUGAUUUGCAUAACCACAGGGGGAUGGAUGUCUUGAUCUUUCACAGUUUUUUUCCAGCCCUUAGAAUCAUUCUGGUCUUUGCUUGCAACCUCCUUUAGAACCAUAUCCUGAGCCACCUCCAUCCUUCUCCCAAAUUAUUGUAACAACUUCUGAGUAGGUCCCCUAGCACUCUAUAAUCUACCCUCCACACAGAAGCAAAAGCUAUCAUAUAAAAUAAAAAUCGGAUAUAUUUUCCCCCUACAGUUGUAACUUAUGACCAUAGCCGUCCCCAACCCAACUGGUUCUCCCAUUCCACCUCCCCUCACCUAAUGUGCACAAACCACUCUCCCUUCUUUUCUGACUCACAAACAUUCAGGGCUUUUGCCUUUCCUCUGUCUGAGCCCUCUUCCCCUAGGACUUUGCAAGGCCAGUUUUUUUCUCAUCGUUAAAUUCCCAGCUCAACUGUCACCCCAGACAGGGCUCUCUGACCAGUCUCCAGUCACUCCAUCCGGACGACCCUUUUAAUUUUCCUUUCAGCAUUUAUCUAGCUGGGCCUGGUGAUGUGUGUCUGUAGUUUCAGCCACUCGGGAGGCUGAGGAAGGAGGAUUGCUGGAGCCCAGGAGUUCAAGGCUGCAGUGAGCUGUGAUCAUCACUUUGCUCCAGUCUGGAUGACAGAGCGAGACCCUGUCUCUAAAACAUAAAUAAAUAGGCCAGGUUUGGUGGCUCAUGCCUGUAAUCCCAGCACUUUUGGAGGCUGAAGCCAGUGGAUUGUUUGAGCCCAGGAAUUUGAGACCAGCCUGGACAACAGGUGAAACCCUGUUUCUAGGAAAAGCAAAAAUUAGCCAGGCAUAGUGGUACAUACCUGUGGUCCCAGAUACUCAGGAGGCUGAUGUGAAAGGACCACCUGAGCCUGGGAAGUUGAGGCUGCAGUGAGCUGAGACUGCUCCACUGAACUCUAGCCUGGGCGGCAGAGUGAGACCCUGUCUCUAAAUACAUAAAUAAAAUAAGUAAAGCACUUUUCAGUAUCUUUCUGGAAUUCUUAUCUAUUUGUUAACAUAUGUAUGGUCUUUUUCUGCUGCUGAGAGGUGAAGCCAGCUGGACUUCCUGGCUCGAGUAGGGACUUGGAGAACUUUUCUGUCUAGUUAGAGGUUUGUAAAUGCACCAAUCAGCGCUUUGUGUCUAGCCAAAGGAUUGUAAAUGCACCAAUCAGCAACUCUGUAAAAUGGACCAAUCAGCACUCUGUAAAAUGGACCAAUCAGCACUCUGUAAAAUUGACCAAUCAGCAGGAUGUGGGAGGGGACAAAUAAGGAAAUAAAAGCUGACCACCCCAGCCAGCGGGGGCGACGUGGUGGGGUCCAUUUGUAGGUUGUGGAGGAUUUGAUCUUUUGCUCUUGGAAAUAAAUCUUGCUGCUGCGCGCGCUCUCUCUCUGGGUGCAUGCUGCUUUUAAGAGCUGUGAUACUCACCAGGAAGGUCCGUGGUUUCAUUCUGGAAGUCAGCGAGACCAAGAACCCACCAGAAGGAACCAACUACAGACACACUGCUAUAUGGUCCAGCUAUGUACAAACUGAAUCAAGAUUCUAUGUACAUCAGAAUCAAGAGAGAGUGAGUUCUUGACAUCACGGAGCGGUCUACAUUCUAGUUCAUGCGGUGGACCUGCUGGGUGGCCUCAGGACCUGAAAUAAAACCAUACGUUGGCUCUCCUGAGUCUCCACCUUCUUGACUGCAGAUUUGGGACUUCUCAGCCUCCAUAAAUAUGUGAGCCAACUCCUUAUAAUAAAUCUCUUUCUAUGUGUGUAUGCGUGUAUAAGUAUAAGGUUGGAAAUAUAUUGGUCUGCUUCUGUGGCAAACCCUGACUAAUUCAAAUAUCCAGGAGUGGAAUGACUGUAUCAUAUGGUAGGUGUGUGUUUAAAUUUCUGGAAGUGGUUCAACUCUUUUCCAAAGUUGUUGUUCCAUUUACGUUCCCACCAACAGUGUAUUAGAGUUCCCCUUGCUCCAUGUCUUUACCAACACUUAGUAUGAUCAGUUUUGUUUUUAAAGUUCAGUCAUUUUCGUAAGUGUGCAGUGGCAUAUUAUUGUGAUAUUAAUUGUAUUUCCCUAAUGACUAAGGAUGUUGACUAUCUUUUCAAGUGUCCAAAGAAGAUAUAGUAAAUAGCAAAUAAGCACAUGAAAAAAUAUAUGAAUGAACACGAGUGGUCAUUCAACUCCUAGAUAUUUG